AAUCAACGCUGGCGGCGUGCCUAACACAUGCAAGUCGAACGGGAAAGUCUUCGGACUGAGUAGAGUGGCGAACGGGUGAGUAACGCGUGGAUGACCUGCCCUGCAGAGGGGGAUAACUCCGCGAAAGCGGGGCUAAUACCGCAUACGCCCUGAAAAGGGGAAAGGCGAAAGUUACUGGAGGAGGGGUCCGCGUCCGAUUAGCUAGUUGGUGGGGUAAGAGCUUACCAAGGCGACGAUCGGUAGCCGGUCUGAGAGGACGGACGGCCACACUGGGACUGAGACACGGCCCAGACACCUACGGGAGGCAG
rnacentral:rRNA from 1 species